GCGGCAUGGAUUAGGCAUGCAAGUCGAGCGAGAAGGGUUUUGAAGCUUGCUUUAGAACCCGGACAGCGGCGAAAGGGAGAGUAACGCGUAGUUAUGUGCCCUAGGGUCCGGAAUAGCCACGGGAAACUGUGGGUAAUGCCGGAUAACAUCCCCGGAUCAAAGGUGUGAUUCCGCCCUAGGAGCAGACUGCGUCCUACUAGCUAGUUGGUGGGGUAAUGGCCCACCAAGGCAAAGAUGGGUAGCGGGUGGGAGAGCAUGACCCGUCUCACUGGGACUGAGACACUGGCCAGACACCUACGGGUGGCUGCGGUCGAGAAUCUUCGGCAAUGGGCGAAAGCCUGACCGAGCGAUGCCGCGUGCGGGAUGAAGGCCCUCGGGUUGUAAACCGCUGUCGUAGGGGAGGAAGGUUCCGUGAAGAGCGGAAUUUGACCUAUCCUAGGAGGAAGUACGGGCUAAGUUCGUGCCAGCAGCCGCCGUAACAC
rnacentral:rRNA from 1 species